rnacentral:lncRNA from 1 species
CCCUUAAAUUUUUUAAAAUUGCAUAAAAAUUCUUUACAGUAAAAAUUGAAAUAUUAUAAAUUUAAAUUUUAAGGGACUAAAUUAAUUUUUUUAAUAAAACUUCUUAGCUCUUUCCCUUCAGCUCUUACAGUCUUGCUUCUACCUAAGCAUAUUGUUGCUAUUGUUGCUAUCAAUAGUUGAUCGGUAAAUCCGACAAACUUUUUAGUUUACUAUC